rnacentral:lncRNA from 1 species
UGCCACUUGACGGCCGCGGUGGGCGGAGCCCGGGAAAGAAAUGGGGCGGCCUCUUUAGGAUCCGCUACCCGCUACUCCCCGGGCCGCGGCGGCGCCGCGAUGGAUUGACCAGGAUGGCUCCAAUCUGAAUAGAGCAAAACAGGUGGAACUGCAUAAGGAGGAUACCAGCAGAGACCAGCUUGACAAUAGGAAAGACCUUCCUUGGGGAGCAAAAUUUGAACUUCCCCCUAUCGUCCUAGAGCCAGACAGUUCUUGCUGCUGAGCUGUGUUGGAGAUAUAUAGAAAAGCUGAUGAUGCCAGUCAAGUUAUUUCUACCAGUUUGAAGCUAUUUAAUUUCUGGAUCCCUUAUCUAAAGCAGAGGUUCUUCACCUGGGGUCCAUGAACUUGAUUAAAAAAAAAAUAAUCCUGACCUUCCUUCUUAGACUCAAUACAGUGAAUUAGUUCCAAAAGGCAAAAAGAGUGGUAAGGGCUAGGCAGUCAGUGAGGGUUAAGUGACUUGCCCAGGGUCACCCAGCUGAGAAGAGUCAGAGGCCAGUUUUGAACCCAGGACCUCCCGUUCUAUGAACUUGGGCUUUUAAAAAAUAUUUUGACAUUCAAUUUUUCAUCUGUUUAUCUGGGUUAGGCCCUUACAAAAGUGAACAAUAUGGAACUAUGUUUUACAUGAUAAUACAUGUAUAACCCAGAUCAAAUUUCCUGCCAGCACUGGAAGAGGGAAGGGAAGGGAGGGAGGG